GCCUAGAAGCGGAAGUGGCGCUGGAAAAUAGGACCGGGUUGGGGCCUGUGCUAUAUUAGCACCUUCCGGGCUCGUAGUGACGAGUCCGCCGAAGUUGCACACCGGACUCGGCUGCCGCUGCGCUGACGUGGCCCCCGGAAGUGGGGUUUGCGCAGGGUUGCCAUGUUGCCACAGGACAGUAAUGAUGAUGCUGAAGAUGUUUCACUGUUUGAUGCCGAAGAAGAGACAGCUACCAGACCUAACAGGUCCAAGAUCAGGCAUCCAGUGGCAUCGUUUUUCCACUUGUUCUUUCGCGUCAGUGCGAUUAUAGUCUACCUUCUGUGUGAACUGCUCAGCGGCAGCUUCAUUGCCUGUAUGGUGACCAUUAUCUUACUGUUGUCAUGUGAUUUUUGGACAGUGAAGAAUGUCACGGGUAGACUAAUGGUUGGCCUACGCUGGUGGAAUCACAUUGAUGAAGAUGGAAAGAGCCACUGGGUGUUUGAGUCCAGGAAGGCAACUUCUCAAGAGAGUAAAAGUUUUUCAGAGGCUGAAUCCAGAAUAUUUUGGUUAGGACUUAUUGCCUGUCCGGUGCUCUGGGUGAUAUUCGCCUUUAGUGCCCUUUUCUCCUUCAGAUUGAAGUGGUUGCCGUAUUGCGUGAAUUCUCCUCUCCUCGAACACCUCCCCACAUUGCCUGAGGUAGCCUGACGAUGCCGGUGGAAGGAGACCUUAGCUGGACCCUGGCUGCCUUGGCUGGCUUGCUUGGAUUGUGCCUUCUGAUAUGGAGUGGGAUUCUUAACUCCUUGUUGACUGCGGUGGUUAUCAUGGGUGUGGUGCUGCAAGGUGCCAACCUGUACGGUUACGUCAAAUGUAAGGUGGGCAGCAGGAAGAAUUUAACCAGCAUGGCUACCUCGUAUCUCGGGAAGCAGUUUUUAAGACAAAACACUGGAGAUGACCAGACUUCCUGAGUAGAGAGAAAGCUUAUGUGUUCUGUUACCUUGGGGAAUAAUUGAAGAGAUUCUUGACUCUGAAUUACUUAGAGGUCCAUUCAUUUUGAAAAGAGGCGUAUUGGGUUUGUUUUUCUGCUUAAAAACUUCUAUUUAAAAAAUAGGGAACAGGUUUCAUAUUGUUUUCAUUUUCUUUCUAUUUUCUGGGGCUAGAAAGUAUAGUAUCAUCAGAAACACUGUCAGAAUUUGUUUUAUAGUAUACAUGUACAUACUAUAUGCUAUGUAAUAGCACUUUAUUCCAAAUUAAUGUGUUCAUUUACAUAAAUAACAGAUCUUUACAUUUUGAUCUUAGAGCAUAGGAAGGUGUUCUUAGUUCUAUGUGUUUGCACAUUAUUUCUGUAGAUUAUUUUCAGAAGUAAGUUUUGAUUCUAUGUGAAAGUGAGCACUUUGGCAUAUGUAUGAGUUUUAAAAGUUAGAAAUAAUUGUUCAUUUUUAUUAUGUACUCCAUGGUGAAAUUUCUUAUCUUAGAAAUACAUGCUGACAUGUAAAAACCGAAUUCAGACCAGUAGUGUUAACUAAUUUCUAAAAUUGUGUUUUUAUUUUUAUUUUGAGGCCAAUAAUGUCUAAAUAGAAUCUUCAUAGUUUAUGUUUAGAGUGCACCCAGGGAUUGCUGCUGUUUUGUUUAUUUUAGGGGAAGGAUAGUGAAGUUCACUUUGGAAGUUUCUGAAACCCCUUCAGUGGUCUUUGGACUAAUAAAUUUUUUACCACUGAAGGAAUAUUAUUCUUAUGAUAAUGAGAAUAAUCUUUUGAUCUUGGCAUAAUAAAUGCCUAAAAGACAUUUUGUUUUAUGAAUCUAUUUUUUUCUGCUAUAAUGGGGAUAUUGUAAAUCAUACAUUUAUAUUGAUGGCAUUUCUUAAAGCUAUAUAUGUAACUAAACUUAUCUACAAAUUAUUGUAGGCAUCUAUACAUUCUGUUGUAGGUACUGUAAACUUUGUUGGAGUCUUAAUCACCAGAUUAUGUUGUGAAUAUAUUUGUACAUUGUUAAAAUAUUGUAAAGAUGUUUUGUUAAAUUGAGUAAGUGUCUAUUGGAGUAGGGACUUGAAAAAUGCAUUACUUUAUAUUUGUAUAAAGCUUUAUUGUUUACAAAGCA